GACGAACGCUGGCGGCGUGCUUAACACAUGCAAGUCGAACGGUGAAGCGCCUUCCUUUUUGGUGGGUGUGGAUGAGUGGCGAACGGGUGAGUAACACGUGAGUAACCUGCCCCCUUCUUCUGGAUAACCGCAUGAAAGUGUGGCUAAUACGGGAUAUUCUGGGUCUGUCGCAUGAUGGGUCUGGGAAAGAUAUUGUUUCGGUGGGGGAUGGGCUCGCGGCCUAUCAGCUUGUUGGGGGGGUGAUGGCCUACCAAGGCGGUGACGGGUAGCCGGCCUGAGAGGGUGGACGGUCACACUGGGACUGAGACACGGCCCAGACUCCUACGGGAGGCAGCAGGGGGGAAUAUUGCACAAUGGGCGCAAGCCUGAUGCAGCGACGCCGCGUGAGGGAUGGAGGCCUGCGGGUUGCGAACCUCUUUCGCCAGUGAAGCAGGCCUGCCUCGUUUGUGGGUGGGUUGACGGUAGCUGGAUAAGAAGCGCCGGCUAACUACGUG
rnacentral:rRNA from 1 species